GUGGGGAGCAAACAGGAUUAGAUACCUGUAGUCACGCUGUAAACGAUGUCGAUUUGGAGGUUGUUCCUGAGGAGUGGCUCCGGAGCUAACGCGUUAAAUCGACCGCUGGGGAGUACGGCCGCAAGGUUAAAACUCAAAUGAAUUGACGGGGGCCCGCACAAGCGGUGGAGCAUGUGGUUUAAUUCGAUGCAACGCGAAGAACCUUACCUACUCUUGACAUCCAGAGAAUUUAGCAGAGAUGCUUUAGUGCCUUCGGGAACUCUGAGACAGGUGCUGCAUGGCUGUCGUCAGCUCGUGUUGUGAAAUGUUGGGUUAAGUCCCGCAACGAGCGCAACCCUUAUCCUUUGUUGCCAGCACAUUAUGGUGGGAACUCAAAGGAGACUGCCGGUGAUAAACCGGAGGAAGGUGGGGAUGACGUCAAGUCAUCAUGGCCCUUACGAGUAGGGCUACACACGUGCUACAAUGGCGUAUACAAAGAGAAGCGACCUCGCGAGAGCAAGCGGAACUCAUAAAGUACGUCGUAGUCCGGAUUGGAGUCUGCAACUCGACUCCAUGAAGUCGGAAUCGCUAGUAAUCGUAGAUCAGAAUGCUACGGUGAAUACGUUCCCGGGCCUUGUACACACCGCCCGUCACACCAUGGGAGUGGGUUGCAAAAGAAGUAGGUAGCUUAACCUUCGGGAGGGCGCUUACCACUUUGUGAUUCAUGACUGGGGUGAAGUCGUAACAAGGUAACCA
rnacentral:rRNA from 1 species